rnacentral:rRNA from 1 species
UACGUAGGCAGCGAGCGUUGUUCGGAGUUACUGGGCGUAAAGGGUGUGUAGGCGGUUGUUUAAGUUUGGUGGGAAAUCUCCCGGCUCAACUGGGAGGGUGCGCCGAAUACUGAAUGACUUCGAGUGCGGGAGAGGAGAGUGGAAUUCCUGGUGUAGCGGUGAAAUGCGUAGAUAUCAGGAGGAACACCGGUGGUGUAGACGGCUCUCUGGACCGUAACUGACGCUGAGACACGAAAGCGUGGGUAGCAAACAGG